rnacentral:rRNA from 1 species
UGGGGAAUAUUGGACAAUGGGCGCAAGCCUGAUCCAGCCAUGCCGCGUGAGUGAUGAAGGCCCUAGGGUUGUAAAGCUCUUUCACCGGUGAAGAUAAUGACGGUAACCGGAGAAGAAGCCCCGGCUAACUUCGUGCCAGCAGCCGCGGUAAUACGAAGGGGGCUAGCGUUGUUCGGAUUUACUGGGCGUAAAGCGAACGUAGGCGGACUAUUAAGUCAGGGGUGAAAUCCCGGGGCUCAACCCCGGAACUGCCUUUGAUACUGGUAGUCUUGAGUUCGAGAGAGGUGAGUGGAAUUCCGGGUGUAGAGGUGAACUUCGUAGAUAUUCGGAGGAACACCAGUGGCGAAGGCGGCUCACUGGCUCGAUACUGACGCUAAGGUGCGAAAGCGUGGGGAGCAAACAGG